AAAAUUUAAAUUUAAAAUACUAAAAUAGUAAAUAUAUAUAUUUAUUGAAACUUAAAUAAUUUGGCGGUAUUUUAGUUCAUUUAGAGGAAUCUGUUUAAUAAUUGAUAUUCCACGAAUAAAUUUACUUAAUUUAUAAUUUUGUAUAUCGUUGUUAUAAAAAUAUUUUUUAAUAAAAUUAAUAUUUUAAAAUUAAUAUAUAAAUUUAAAUCAGAUCAAGAUGCAGAUUAUAAUUAAGAAUAUAAUGGAUUACAAUAAAUUUAUUUAAAUGAAUUUUAAUUUGUAAAAGUUAAUUGAAGGUGGAUUUAAAUGUAAUUUUAUUUAAUUUAGUAAAAUGAUUAAAAAUUAAAAUAUGU
rnacentral:rRNA from 1 species